rnacentral:lncRNA from 1 species
ACUAAUAAAAGAAACUUUUUUUACACCCUCUAUCGAAGCAAUAAAUGCAAACUCACUUAAUAGGCUCACCCUAAUUGAGAAAUCUAACAGCCACACGAGUUAAAUCAAACAAAUAAUAAAAGAAAACCUAAAAUAAAAAUAACAAAACACCUAAGUCUUCAAUAGAGGGUAACUGAACAGUUCUCAUUUCUUCCUACAACCGACUCAAUCAGUGAUUAUUUCCAGUAACUCUCAACUUUUGCAACCUUCCACUCUGAUGAUCUCCUUUUGGUCUUGAUUGUUUUUCUAUUGCCGAUUUGGCACUCCCGAGCUUUUUGUAACUUCUUGUUUUAUCCCGUCUUUACUUAAUAAUUCCAUCAUUUCCUCCCAUUUGUAUUUGCCUUCUUCCCUCCAUCACCAGUUCUUUUACUCUCAUUGGGGCUUCUUUUAUCUAGUAUCUGGCUGUUUCAAACCUCUUGCCUUCCCGAGUCAGUCCAUGCGCUACGGUGUUUGCUUCUCUAAGUACGAAUCUAAACUUUAUCUCUUAAUAUAUUAAAGAGAUAAAUGGGCGGUUAAAGCUUAAAAACAACUUUCAAGCUACAUAUAAAGAAUGUAGUCAAGUAAACGGGAGUGAAGGUGGAACGGUGAACGAGAGUUUCAAGGAGGUGGAGGUGGUCAAUUAAAAGGAGUGAAGGUGGGGAUGGAGGGAGGCUUUAGGGGUAUUUUUUGGAUUGAAACAAUAAGUUUAAACAAAGUAAGAGAAAGAUAAAUGAAAUAGAUGC